UGGGUGGUAGCUCAAAUCCCUGCGGAGAGCCCUCGAUGUGAGGAGAUGCGAGUUCGAUUCUCGUCCACUCAA
rnacentral:tRNA from 1 species